GUAGUUCUUGCGAGGCAAAAAUUACGUGCUCACAAGGUAGACAAUAAUAUAUUUAUCAAUAAUGAAACAAUUAACAAAAACGACCUCAAGAAGCAUUGUUGUAAAGUGAGAAGUAGGGCAAGGUACUACAACAGUUUGUAGGAAGUGUUGGGGCAAGUGUCGGGUAUGGGUUCCCGGAACCAGUAACUUCUAUCUAUCACAAUUAUUUUUCAAUGCUAGCUAUGACAAAGAAUUUUGCAAAACUCCGUAAGAAAUGCUAUUUUUUUAAACCUUGAAAGUUUUUUAGGUGAAAAUUGGAGAAUUACAUAUUUUUUGAUCUGUUAAUCGAACCAUAUUAUAAACCACUGGAAUAACCCAGCAGCAUACAACAAUGACAUUGUUUCUUGCUUGUACUAUUAAAUUUGAGACAAUGACGCUACAUUUUCUGCAGAAAAUAAUUUCUAUCGAGUAUUUCUUAUGCCCAAUGUGUUCUUUCACACUAAUUUCGAAAACUCUUUUUUUUUGCGUUCUAAGAUUGUGCGGUUGAGUUUAUGUGGUUAUGGCGUCGUCUUAAAAGAAGGGCCGUUUUGAGAAGUACAUUUACGCCCUUAAUUUGCUUUAUUACCCACGUUAUUAUAGCCCAUUUCUGUAAAUUUAUUUUGUCUAGGGCGGUGGCUGACACUACUUUGAUUACUUUGCGUUCUUACUUGUCUCCCAUGGCUAAUAGGUAAAUAUCGGUGAGAACAAGAAUAUAUAGACAAGAUGUUCUGCAUGUUGCCACCCUCAAAGUCUCUACCAAGAAACGACAUCGUUGGAGGCUUUCUUUCUGUUUGCAACAUUGACUCAUGAAUGAGAAAUCUCAGUAGGUGGUUCUUUGGUCAGGUUUGGCUCUAGAAGCAUCCUUCUUCAAUCUCUCUCAUCCCCAAAAUCAGAUGCAAGACUACUCUUAUUCCAACAGCAAUUUCAUAUUAUUCUUGUGCUUUUCUUCAUCUUCGCACCUGGUGUUGUCGUUUCAGUCUUCCAAAGACUACCCUUUCAAUACGUUCCAUCUACUCGGAUUGGGGUUAUAAUUAAUUUCAGGUAUGAUUUUCUUAUUUUUAGCCAAAAUUUCUUCCAUUUCUCUUAUGUCUUCCCAGUUUUAUGGCUGAAGUUAGUGACAAAUGCCAUUUUUUCUUUCGGUUCUCUUCGGUCUUCCCCAUUUCUACUAAUUCAUAUUCUUGGAAGUUAAUAUGAAUUUCGAAAUUGGUACUUAGUUGAAUUUGUCAUCAACUAAAACGAUAUCUUGAUUUUAGCACAUUUUAGAGACAGGAUCUAUGCAUGUUAUGUGUCAAGACAACAACUUAAAUUAAUUCCCGAACUUUUGAGUACAAAUCUUCUUCUGCUACUUGAAAUUAUCGUACGGGUCCUCAUUUUUUAGUUUUUUUAUUCGGGUGUAUUCUAUGUUUUGGAAAUUUAUGCAUUGCUACUGUGAAAGGAUUACCUACAAAAUGGCAUCGUUGGAAUUUGAUUUCUGCUUCGUUGCUAUUCCAGAUUUCGUAUAGGCUGCUUUUUUAUGAUGCCCCUCUUUUGGAACUCCGAGCUUAGGCCUUUAGAUAUAUAGCAGAGUACACAUUAAAACGGAGAUGGAAUGGAUGUCGUUGUCAAUUCGUUGUCUAUUUCUUUAUUUGCCGAUCAAAUGGACUGUUGUGACAGAAUUAUAUUCUUGGGAACUCUGAAUUAUAGUUAGAGGCACUGUCAACCUAAAAAGGCUUUGAACGAGACUCUACUUUUUAUUGUCUCUAUCUGGUGUCAGAUUUAAAUAAACAAUAAACAAUAAGCAAAACUUCCUUGUGAAAAGUUUGUAAACCAUAAUAGCUCUUUGAGCUUAGCAUUAUGAAGGUCAAAGUAUAUAUGAAUUCUGGGGUGAAAUUAAGACAAUGUGAGACAUCUAUAUCAUCGUCUUUUUGAACAUUCUAUUGUUAAUAAUUCAAGUGGUAUUUUAUCGUCCUUUUAUUGUCAUAAGAGACCCAUCUUUCUCUCGUAAAAGAGGUUAUAAAGUAUCAUUUCUUAUUUUCAA